CACCUACUACCGUGUGAAAUUCCAGAAAGGGAGCUUAACGUGGAGAUUAAGUCUGGACCAGGCACCCAGAUGUUUGUGCGUGCCCUCUCUUCCAAAGAUUUCUGGCCACUCCAACAGGGAUAUCCCAGGCCAACUAGUGAAUCUCACCUGCACCUCAACUGGCUUCUUUGCCGAAAACAUAUAUGUGAAAUGACUCAAAAAUGGCAUAGAGCUUCCAGCCUUUCAGAGCCACGUCUCCUCACCUGCAGAUGCUUCCUCCUACACCGUCAUCAGCACUGCUACAGUGACCCUUGGCUUCUCCUCACUCCACUCCCAGGUCAUCCGCCAGUUGGCUCACAGUGAAUUGCAGAGCCCCCUCAGAGGGCAUGUGAACAUCUCCCAAUUUCUCCAAGAGCUCCCUGCUGUCUAACGUCUUUGGGAGGUGGAACUUCAUUCACUAAUUCGACAGGUUUUUGUUGAGCAUCUGCUAUGUGGUGGCAUCAUUCUAGGUGCUGGAGAUUCUAUGGUAAACCGAGCAGACCUGGUUCUGCCUUGCUGAGUUUACAGUCAUGUGAACCCAAUCAACCAAGACGCAAACAACUAUAUGGUUAUGACUCAUCACAUUUGCUAUGAAGAGAAAGAACAAAUUGCUGAAAUAUAUGAAAAGGAGAGAAAUCCAGUUUACUCAGGAAAUGCCUUUUUGAAGAAAUGAUGUUUGAGCCAAGGCAUGGAGAAUGAAAAGGAGUCAGCCAAGCAAAGUGCAGAGUGUUCAAGGCACAGGAAACAGAGCAUGCAAAGGCCCUGUGCUGCCGUGGGGAGCAAGACAUGUCUGAGGAGCAGAGACGAAGCCAGUGUGGCUGAGGCCUAGUGAGAGGGUGAGUGCAUGGAAAAGGAAGAGGCUGGCAAGAGAGGGCCAGGGACCUGAUCACUUAGGGCUUCAUAGCAAAGAAGUUUCUCCCACCUGAACUCGCUGUGGGAACUCCUAACACCACUGUUCAAACCGCCAUGCCACCACUGCCUUGCCGCCAGUCACCACCUUUGAAACACGCUUCUUAAACUCACCUGGCAACAGGAGAAGCAGCAAGGCAGGCUACACACACAUGCCCUUUCUGGCUCUUACUUCUUAAGGACAGAGUCCAUUGUUUAUUUCCCAAGAGCAAGCCCAGGCUGUUGUGUUGAAUCCAACUUUGCAGAAAUAUAGAAAGAAAGGCAAAGGAAAUUAUCCUCACUGCUUUUCAAGUCCAUCUGCCUUUGCCUUCAAAGGGGCUUUCCCCAGAGGCCUGUACUGUCCUUUGCCCCCCCACCAACCUCAGCAUAGUAUAGUCUCAAUUACCUCCUGCAGAUGGGUGAAGUUCCUUCCAGGGGUCCAGAACUCCAUCUUUCCUUCUCUCCAGCUCCAGCCAGAGAAAACCA
rnacentral:lncRNA from 1 species